AGAGUUGAUCCUGGCUCAGGACGAACGCUGGCGGCGUGCUUAACACAUGCAAGUCGAACGGAAAGGCCCUUCGGGGUACUCGAGUGGCGAACGGGUGAGUAACACGUGGGUGAUCUGCCCUGCACUUUGGGAUAAGCCUGGGAAACUGGGUCUAAUACCGAAUAUGACCGCAUGCUUCAUGGUGUGUGGUGGAAAGCUUUUGCGGUGUGGGAUGGGCCCGCGGCCUAUCAGCUUGUUGGUGGGGUAAUGGCCUACCAAGGCGACGACGGGUAGCCGGCCUGAGAGGGUGACCGGCCACACUGGGACUGAGAUACGGCCCAGACUCCUACGGGAGGCAGCAGUGGGGAAUAUUGCACAAUGGGCGCAAGCCUGAUGCAGCGACGCCGCGU
rnacentral:rRNA from 1 species